rnacentral:pre_miRNA from 1 species
AGAGGGAUAACUGGGUCAAAUGGUUGUUCUAUUCUCAGAUUUCCAAGAAAUCUCCAGACUGCUUUCCAUAUUGGCUGCACCAAUUUGCAGUCCCAUCAGCAAU